UACAGAGGUCUCAAGCGUUGUUCGGAAUCACUGGGCGUAAAGGGUGCGUAGGCGGCGGGGAAAGUCAGAUGUGAAAUCCGGAGGCUCAACCUCCGAAUUGCAUCCGAUACUCCCUCGCUAGAGAUUUGUAGGGGAGCUUGGAAUUCUCGGUGUAGCAGUGAAAUACGUAGAUAUCGAGAAGAACGCUCGCAGCGAAAGCGAAGCUCUGGGCAACAUCUGACGCUGAUGCACGAAAGGCUAGGGGAGCAAACGGG
rnacentral:rRNA from 1 species